GACGAACGCUGGCGGCGUGCUUAACACAUGCAAGUCGAACGGAAAGGCCCUGCUUUUGUGGGGUGCUCGAGUGGCGAACGGGUGAGUAACACGUGAGUAACCUGCCCUUGACUUUGGGAUAACUUCAGGAAAUUGGGGUUAAACCCGGAAAGAAGUUCCUGCGGCAGGGUGGGGGUUGGAAAGUUUCGGCGGUUGGGGAUGGACUCGCGGCUUAUCAGCUUGUUGGUGGGGUAGUGGCUUACCAAGGCUUUGACGGGUAGCCGGCCUGAGAGGGUGACCGGCCACAUUGGGACUGAGAUACGGCCCAGACUCCUACGGGAGGCAGCAGUGGGGAAUAUUGCACAAUGGGCGGAAGCCUGAUGCAGCAACGCCGCGUGCGGGAUGACGGCCUUCGGGUUGUAAACCGCUUUCGCCUGUGACGAAGCGUGAGUGACGGUAAUGGGUAAAGAAGCACCGGCUAACUACGUG
rnacentral:rRNA from 1 species